UCCCUGGUGGUCCAGUGGUUAGGACUCCACACUUUCACUGCUGAGGGACUGGGCUCCAUCCCUGGUCAAGGAA
rnacentral:tRNA from 1 species